rnacentral:rRNA from 1 species
GAUGAACGCUGGCGGCGUGCCUAAUACAUGCAAGUAGAACGCUGAAGCUUGGUGCUUGCACCGAGCGGAUGAGUUGCGAACGGGUGAGUAACGCGUAGGUAACCUGCCUCUUAGCGGGGGAUAACUAUUGGAAACGAUAGCUAAUACCGCAUAAAAGUCGAUAUCGCAUGAUAUUGAUUUGAAAGGUGCAAUUGCAUCACUAAGAGAUGGACCUGCGUUGUAUUAGCUAGUUGGUGAGGUAACGGCUCACCAAGGCGACGAUACAUAGCCGACCUGAGAGGGUGAUCGGCCACACUGGGACUGAGACACGGCCCAGACUCCUACGGGAGGCAGCAGUAGGGAAUCUUCGGCAAUGGGGGCAACCCUGACCGAGCAACGCCGCGUGAGUGAAGAAGGUUUUCGGAUCGUAAAGCUCUGUUGUAAGAGAAGAACGAGUGUGAGAGGGAAAGUUCAC